GAUGAACGCUGGCGGCGUGCCUAAUACAUGCAAGUCGAACGAGUUCUGAUUAUUGAAAGGUGCUUGCAUCUUGAUUUAAUUUUGAACGAGUGGCGGACGGGUGAGUAACACGUGGGUAACCUGCCCUUAAGUGGGGGAUAACAUUUGGAAACAGAUGCUAAUACCGCAUAAAUCCAAGAACCGCAUGGUUCUUGGCUGAAAGAUGGCGUAAGCUAUCGCUUUUGGAUGGACCCGCGGCGUAUUAGCUAGUUGGUGAGGUAACGGCUCACCAAGGCAAUGAUACGUAGCCGAACUGAGAGGUUGAUCGGCCACAUUGGGACUGAGACACGGCCCAAACUCCUACGGGAGGCAGCAGUAGGGAAUCUUCCACAAUGGACGCAAGUCUGAUGGAGCAACGCCGCGUGAGUGAAGAAGGCUUUCGGGUCGUAAAACUCUGUUGUUGGAG
rnacentral:rRNA from 2 species